rnacentral:rRNA from 1 species
AACGAACGCUGGCGGCAGGCCUCAAACAUGCAAGUCUAGGGGGUGCAGCAAUGCAUCACCGGCGGACGGGUGCGUAACGCGUGGGAAUAUACCUUUUGGUUCGGAACAACUGCGGGAAACUGCAGCUAAUACCGAAUGUGCCCUAACGGGGAAAGAUUUAUCGCCAAAGGAUUAGCCCGCGUAGGAUUAGCUAGUUGGUGAGGUAAUGGCUCACCAAGGCUCCGAUCCUUAGCGUUCUGAGAGGAAGAUCAGCCACACUGGGACUGAGACACGGCCCA